UGAAGUACUAAUCAUAUGAAUGAUUGUUAGUAUUGUACUACAAUGGUCUCAAGGUUGGAGCAAAGUUUGUAUAAGGUAUACAAACGAAAUAUAUGUCGAUAUAUAGUUUUAGAAACUGCUUCAAAAGGUGUUUUGAAUGAAGGGGUUCUUAUAGAACCAAUGAUUGAAUCCAAACCAUAAGGUCGUUAGUAGGAUACUACGACGUAAUGGGGCGAUAACUCAAGCCAUGGAAUCAAGGUCUUAUCAAAGUAUUCGAACACAAGAAAGAGACAUCAUCAAAUGUUUUGGAAACAUUUGAUAAGUAAAUCCCUUUUAGAUGGUAAAAGGGAUUAAUACAUAACCAAGUUAACCUACGAGCAUAAGCUCUCUCGACUAGCAUGUAUAAGAUACACUAGUGAUUGACUUUAGUGCAAAUGGGAGAUUGUUGGAAAUAUGCCCUGAAAGUCAAUCUUUGGAAGAAACCUUUCAGGACAAAUGAAUCGAUGUACGGAUGACUCUUAUACAUCAAAUGGAAAAGACACGAAUUAGGACUAUCUCAAUAAACGAUAUAUGUCCUAAAUAGUGU
rnacentral:lncRNA from 1 species